rnacentral:tRNA from 1 species
GGCCGGUUAGCUCAGUCUGUUGAGCUUAGCGCUAACAACGCCAAGGUCGCGGGUUCGAAUCCUGUGCGGUCCC